AUGUAUUCUUUUUUUUUUUUGAUAAGGAAAGAUAAAAAAGAAUCAAAGUUUAAAAAUUGUCUAGCCAUAGAUACAGUAAAAAAAAAAAAAAAUGAGUCGAGUGUUAAUAACAAUAUGCUUUCCCAUUAAUCCAGCUGUGUGGUCUGACGACAGCAAGACGUGUCCUGUGUGUGUUGUGUCUUUCAAAACAGAAGAAGAACUUCGAUGCCAUAAUCUCAUUCAUCAACCAAAUGCACCAAGGUACCGCUGUGAUAAAUGCAUGUAUGAAUCCGUCUGGUUAGAAAAUAUGGUCAAACACAAACAAGAGAAACACAAGCCACAGAAACAAAUGAGAGGUAUGUUCAUGCUGUCAAAAAAAAUUGAAAAAAAAUAAAUAUUUCAUGAUGUUUUUUUAUUUAAACAAUUAUUUUCGUUAAAUAACAAAAGCAAAUCUUAAAAAAAUUUUGUUAUUUGACGAAGAUGUCAUUAGUUUAUGACAACUGAAAGGUGAGUUUUAACUGUUUACUGUAAAAAAAAAUAUGGAUAAUGAAUUAUUUUUUUAAAUAGAAUCCAUCUUUUCAUAAUAAAAAUAAAAAUUGUUUUUA
rnacentral:lncRNA from 1 species